UUAAAUUGAAGAGUUUGAUCAUGGCUCAGAUUGAACGCUGGCGGCAGGCCUAACACAUGCAAGUCGAACGGUAACAGGAAGCAGCUUGCUGUUUCGCUGACGAGUGGCGGACGGGUGAGUAAUGUCUGGGAAACUGCCUGAUGGAGGGGGAUAACUACUGGAAACGGUAGCUAAUACCGCAUAACGUCGCAAGACCAAAGAGGGGGACCUUCGGGCCUCUUGCCAUCGGAUGUGCCCAGAUGGGAUUAGCUAGUAGGUGGGGUAACGGCUCACCUAGGCGACGAUCCCUAGCUGGUCUGAGAGGAUGACCAGCCACACUGGAACUGAGACACGGUCCAGACUCCUACGGGAGGCAGCAGUGGGGAAUAUUGCACAAUGGGCGCAAGCCUGAUGCAGCCAUGCCGCGUGUAUGAAGAAGGCCUUCGGGUUGUAAAGUACUUUCAGCGGGGAGGAAGGGAGUAAAGUUAAUACCUUUGCUCAUUGACGUUACCCGCAGAAGAAGCACCGGCUAACUCCGUGCCAGCAGCCGCGGUAAUACGGAGGGUGCAAGCGUUAAUCGGAAUUACUGGGCGUAAAGCGCACGCAGGCGGUUUGUUAAGUCAGAUGUGAAAUCCCCGGGCUCAACCUGGGAACUGCAUCUGAUACUGGCAAGCUUGAGUCUCGUAGAGGGGGGUAGAAUUCCAGGUGUAGCGGUGAAAUGCGUAGAGAUCUGGAGGAAUACCGGUGGCGAAGGCGGCCCCCUGGACGAAGACUGACGCUCAGGUGCGAAAGCGUGGGGAGCAAACAGGAUUAGAUACCCUGGUAGUCCACGCCGUAAACGAUGUCGACUUGGAGGUUGUGCCCUUGAGGCGUGGCUUCCGGAGCUAACGCGUUAAGUCGACCGCCUGGGGAGUACGGCCGCAAGGUUAAAACUCAAAUGAAUUGACGGGGGCCCGCACAAGCGGUGGAGCAUGUGGUUUAAUUCGAUGCAACGCGAAGAACCUUACCUGGUCUUGACAUCCACGGAAGUUUUCAGAGAUGAGAAUGUGCCUUCGGGAACCGUGAGACAGGUGCUGCAUGGCUGUCGUCAGCUCGUGUUGUGAAAUGUUGGGUUAAGUCCCGCAACGAGCGCAACCCUUAUCCUUUGUUGCCAGCGGUCCGGCCGGGAACUCAAAGGAGACUGCCAGUGAUAAACUGGAGGAAGGUGAGGAUGACGUCAAGUCAUCAUGGCCCUUACGACCAGGGCUACACACGUGCUACAAUGGCGCAUACAAAGAGAAGCGACCUCGCGAGAGCAAGCGGACCUCAUAAAGUGCGUCGUAGUCCGGAUUGGAGUCUGCAACUCGACUCCAUGAAGUCGGAAUCGCUAGUAAUCGUGGAUCAGAAUGCCACGGUGAAUACGUUCCCGGGCCUUGUACACACCGCCCGUCACACCAUGGGAGUGGGUUGCAAAAGAAGUAGGUAGCUUAACCUUCGGGAGGGCGCUUACCACUUUGUGAUUCAUGACUGGGGUGAAGUCGUAACAAGGUAACCGUAGGGGAACCUGCGGUUGGAUCACCUCCUUACCUUAAAGAAGC
rnacentral:rRNA from 2 species